rnacentral:rRNA from 1 species
GACGAACGCUGGCGACGUGCUUAACACAUGCAAGUCGAACGGAAAGGCCCUGCUUUUGUGGGGUGCUCGAGUGGCGAACGGGUGAGUAACACGUGAGUAACCUGCCCUUGACUUUGGGAUAACUUCAGGAAACUGGGGCUAAUACCGGAUAGGAGCUCCUGCUGCAUGGUGGGGGUUGGAAAGUUUCGGCGGUUGGGGAUGGACUCGCGGCUUAUCAGCUUGUUGGUGGGGUAGUGGCUUACCAAGGCUUUGACGGGUAGCCGGCCUGAGAGGGUGACCGGCCACAUUGGGACUGAGAUACGGCCCAGACUCCUACGGGAGGCAGCAGUGGGGAAUAUUGCACGAUGGGCGGAAGCCUGAUGCAGCAACGCCGCGUGCGGGAUGACGGCCUUCGGGUUGUAAACCGCUUUCGCCUGUGACGAAGCGUGAGUGACGGUAAUGGGUAAAGAAGCACCGGCUAACUACGUG